rnacentral:lncRNA from 1 species
UCCCUUCCCUUUCAUUCCAGCCAGGAACAGCCAUCCAUAAAGAGACCAGGAUGAGGGGACCAACCAUCUUCCUAUUCUUAGUUCUCAAGAAUUAAACCUGGACUCCAGGACUCAUUCUGCCUCCAAUCAGGUAGAGCUGUGUUUAUGCUAACAGUGUUUCCGAUUUGCCUGCUUUUUUUCAAAACAAAAGGUUAUGAAAUACAUUUAUGUGAUAACCAUUAUUAUCCAAAGUUCAGGUAUGAAGACAUGAAUUGGUGUGAAUAUACUGUGUAUACAACCAGAGAUAUGAAAAAUUGUGCUCUAUAUGUGUAAUAAGAAUUGUAAUGCAUUCUGCUGUCAUAUAUAAAUUUUUUAAAAAUUUUAAAAAAGAAAUAAAUUUAUUCUGCUCUGUAUGGACCCAGAAAAAGCCCUGGUCUCUUGUGAAGACCAGAGAAGGAAAAAAUUAGUGCCUGGUACUUUUGAGUCUGUAUUCAUCAUCUAAUUUAACACACACACACACACACAUACAUACACUACAUCCUUUCCCAAAUAUACAACAGUACUACUCACUUUAAAGAUUCUUCUUAAAUCCCAUUAGUGGUUGUUCUUCCUGGGAUUAGAAGAAUUUGGUAUUUUUCCCUUGCCUCCAUGUUCUUGUAUAUUUACUUUCCAUUCCAAGUUACCCCGACAUUCUUAUUCAUGAAACACUUAUUUCCUCUCAAACCAAGUCUUUUGUUUUAUUGUAAAGCAUUUGCUAUAAGUAAACCCUUCUUUAAAUGGUACUGUCAGGCUGAGGAUAUGGCUCAGUGGUAGAGCACCUGGCUAGCAGGCAGGAGGCCCUGGUUUGUCCCCAGCAAAACACAAACACACAGGGUGGGGGAGAAAGGGUCCUGUCAUUAACUGAACAGAGAUGGAAGGAAGAUAUCUAAGCCUGAAUUUGCUUUUAAUAGCCACAUCUACAGGAUCUAAAGAAAUGAGAGUAGUGUUCUUAUGAAGUGAGGCAAAAUGCCAACUGAUUCAUUGUUACCAGAAGACAAUGAAGUGCAUGAGAAAAGAAGGGAAGGAGGAGGUUAGAGGAGAUAUUUUUCCCUCUUUGGCUCUUAGCUAGCCCACAUUUCAUGGAUAAAUUCUUCAAUCUUGUCAAACCUCAAUUUCCUCAUCUGUGAAAGGGGAACAUAAUGCUGAUCAUAUGUAACUUACAAGUUUUCGGAUUGAUUCCAGAACACUAUAUGGCGUUUAUAUUUUAGAAAUAGUAAUUUUGCCUCCUAAAUGAUACAGAUUGGGUAAAUCUCUCACUCUGGCACUCAUCGUUGCCUUAUAUAAUGUUUUCUCAAUAACACUAUUGUUGUUUGUAUUCAAGCCUAUUGCCACAUUGAUAGGAUCAUAGAACUUAGACCCAAAAGGAUCUUUAGGAUUAAAAGUAACCCAAGCUCACCCCACUGUAGUCUAUAUACUGUUAUUCGUCAUUGGAACCCGACCAGCCACAGUCACUCUUUUCCAGUCUUCCUGGGCUCACAUGCGUAAAGAUACAACCAGAAGCCAAAGGAAAAUCGAAAGCCG